UGCUCUAGAACUUUCUCCAGCUGUCGGUAGGUCUGCUCUAGAACUUUCUCCAGUUGUCGGUAGGUCUGCUCUAGAACUUUCUCCAGCUGUCGGUAGGUCUGCUCUAGAACUUUCUCCAGCUGUCGGUAGGUCUGCUCUAGAACUUUCUCCAGUUGUCGGUAGGUCUGCUCUAGAACUUUCUCCAGCUGUCGGUAGGUCUGCUCUAGAACUUUCUCCAGCUGUCGGUAGGUCUGCUCUAGAACUUUCUCCAGCUGUCGGUAGGUCUGCUCUAGAACUUUCUCCAGCUGUCGGUAGGUCUGCUCUAGAACUUUCUCCAGCUGUCGGUAGGUCUGCUCUAGAACUUUCUCCAGCUGUCGGUAGGUCUGCUCUAGAACUUUCUCCAGCUGUCGGUAGGUCUGCUCUAGAACUUUCUCCAGUUGUCGGUAGGUCUGCUCUAGAACUUUCUCCAGCUGUCGGUAGGUCUGCUCUAGAACUUUCUCCAGCUGUCGGUAGGUCUGCUCUAGAACUUUCUCCAGUUGUCGGUAGGUCUGCUCUAGAACU